CGUUGAUGCUCAAAAGUCGCUAAUGAGAAGCUGAGCCAAGAGUCAGAUCCAAAGUCCUUCCAGCUCUGAAGCCUGCAUUGUUUCCAACGCAUGAUGUUGUCUGAAUGCGCCUGCUUCAUUGUCCCUUGGGUGAGUGAAGACAUCACCACUUGUUAAUUGCUCACCAGGCACUGGACCAAACUCAACACAUUAAUUUUCUUACUAGGCUCAGUGAUGGCUUGGCUGAAGAAGACUUCAUGAUCACUCCCAUUUUGAAGAUCAGCACAUUGAGGUUCAGAGUGGUGAAAUGACUUGAAGUUCCUGUGGAGAGUAAAUGGGAAACAUCAGAGGAAUGAUUUGAACCCUGGUCUGUCCACCUUCAGUGCCCAUAUUUUGUCCUCCAUGCUUUGAAGCACAAAUCAUGAUUCAGGUGAAGAAAGAUAUUUUAAGAGCUAUGAAGAUUGCUGGUAUUCUCAACAACAAGAGCUCUGUGGUCACAUGUGAGUCUAGUUUGGGUUGUUGCUUUUCAAACUUAUUUGAUUACAAAACUAUAGAUGUCAAUUAUUUUGCAAAAUGCUUAGUGCUGGAGAUGAUGAGUGCCUAGAUGUAAGCAUCUGCUGCUGGGUUUUGCUUUCAGAAGACACAGAGAAAAAUACAAAUUUAUCAAACCUAUUAGCCUAAGAUUAUUGUUAUCAUGAAGCAUUUUUGUUUAUAAAAGUAUUUCCUUUAAUAAGCAUAAGCAUUAGCAGCCCCAGUUAAGUAUGAGUGCUGUGCUAUA
rnacentral:lncRNA from 1 species